rnacentral:rRNA from 1 species
AACGAACGCUGGCGGCAGGCCUAACACAUGCAAGUCGAACGCCGUAGCAAUACGGAGUGGCAGACGGGUGCGUAACACGUGGGAACAUACCCUUUGGUUCGGAAUAACUCAGGGAAACUUGAGCUAAUACCGGAUAAGUCCGCGAGGAGAAAGAUUCAUCGCCGAAGGAUUGGCCCGCGUCUGAUUAGCUAGUUGGUGAGGUAACGGCUCACCAAGGCGACGAUCAGUAGCUGGCCNGAGAGGAUGAUCAGCCACACUGGGACUGAGACACGGCCCAGACUCCUACGGGAGGCAGCAGUGGGGAAUAUUGGACAAUGGGCGCAAGCCUGAUCCAGCCAUGCCGCGUGAGUGAUGAAGGCCUUAGGGUUGUAAAGCUCUUUUACCCGGGAAGAUAAUGACGGUACCGGGAGAAUAAGCCCCGGCUAACUUCGUGCCAGCCGCCGCUGUAAU